rnacentral:rRNA from 1 species
GAUGAACGCUAGCGGCAGGCUUAAUACAUGCAAGUCGUGGGGCAGCAUGAGUAGCAAUACUUGAUGGCGACCGGCAAACGGGUGCGGAACACGUACACAACCUUCCGUCAAGCGGGGAAUAGCCCAGAGAAAUUUGGAUUAAUACCCCAUAACAUAUUUGAUAAGGCAUCUUAUUAAUAUUAAAGCUUCGGCACUUGAUGAUGGGUGUGCGGCUGAUUAGAUAGUUGGCGGGGUAACGGCCCACCAAGUCUACGAUCAGUAGCUGAUGUGAGAGCAUGAUCAGCCACACGGGCACUGAGACACGGGCCCGACUCCUACGGGAGGCAGCAGUAAGGAAUAUUGGACAAUGGACGAAAGUCUGAUCCAGCCAUGCCGCGUGAAGGAUUAAGGUCCUCUGGAUUGUAAACUUCUUUUAUAUGGGACGAAAAGAGGGUAUUCUUGCUCACUUGACGGUACCAUAUGAAUAAGCACCGGCUAACUCCGUGCCAGCCGCCGCGGUAAAAC